AAGAAACGUUCAUGUAUUAUCUCAAAAAAAAAUAAAAUACAGCCACUUUUCAAAGGGAAGGGCGUGGAUCAGAUUCUUCUACAUAAUAAAAAAUUACUAACUAUGGGAAUCCAAUUCCAACUUUUCAAAGCAACCAUAAUAAGAUAGAAAGACCAGAAAAGAAGAAAGAUAAAACUAAACAAAGAUUCUUCUAAAUAUGGACUUUCCUAUCUCCUCUUUUUACUUUUUAGACCCUUGAGCAUAAAAAGCUUAUAGCCAAAAGGGCUAAAGUGAAAAAGAUAGUGUUUUGGAGAUGCAUAGCUGCAUUGCCGUCUAUGCCAACGCUACUCGGUCCAAUCCCAAAAGGUGGAUUGUUUGCCCCAGGUGUAGUCACUAUGCCUGUCCCCGUGCCAGUUCCUGGAGUUGUGGUGCCAGGUGGUGCAAUCGUUGGUAUUGUAGAUCCUGGUGGUGCGAUUGUUGGAGUUGUG
rnacentral:misc_RNA from 1 species